UACGGAGGGUGCAAGCAUUGAUCGGAAUUACUGGGCGUAAAGGGCGCGUAGGCGGCAAAGAAAGUCGGAUGUGAAAUUCCGGGGCUCAACCCCGGAGCUGCAUUUGAAACUUCUUAGCUAGAGUUCAGUUGGGGUAAACGGAAUUCCACGUGUAGCGGUGAAAUGCGUAGAUAUGUGGAGGAACACCGGUGGCGAAGGCGGCUUCCUGGACCGACACUGACGCUGAGGCGCGAAAGCUAGGGGAGCAAACGGG
rnacentral:rRNA from 1 species